rnacentral:rRNA from 1 species
AGUGAACGCUGGCGGUAGGCCUAACACAUGCAAGUCGAACGGCAGCACAGUAAGAGCUUGCGCUUACGGGUGGCGAGUGGCGGACGGGUGAGGAAUACAUCGGACUCUACUUUUUCGUGGGGGAUAACGUAGGGAAACUUACGCUAAUACCGCAUACGACCUACGGGGGAAAGCAGGGGAACUUCGGACCUUGCGCGAUUGAAUGAGCGGCUGUCGGGUUAGCUAGUUGGCGGGCGAAAGGCCAAGCUAGGCGGCGAUCCGUAGCUGGUCUGUGAGGAUGGUCAGCCACACUGGAGCUGAGACACGGUCCAUGCGCCUACGGGAGGCACCAGUGGCGUAUAUUGGACAAUGGGCGCAAGCCUGGUCCAGCCAUACCGCGUGUGUGAAGAAGGCCUUCGGGUUGUAAAGCCCUUUUGUUGGGAAAGAACAGCAGCAGGUUAAUACCCCGCUGUUCUGACGGUACCCAAUGAAUAAGCACCGGCUAACUUCGUG